AACGAGCGCUGGCGGCAGGCUUAACACAUGCAAGUCGAGGGGCAGCACAGAUAGCAAUAUUGGGUGGCGACCGGCGAACGGGUGCGGAACACGUACACAACCUUCCUUUUAGUGUGGGAUAGCCCAGAGAAAUUUGGAUUAAUACCACAUAGUAUAUUGGAGUGGCAUCACUUUGAUAUUAAAGAUUUAUCGCUAAAAGAUGGGUGUGCGUAUGAUUAGGUAGUUGGUAGAGGUAACGGCUCACCAAGCCUUCGAUCAUUAACUGGUGUGAGAGCACGACCAGUCACACGGGCACUGAGACACGGGCCCGACUCCUACGGGAGGCAGCAGUAAGGAAUAUUGGUCAAUGGACGGAAGUCUGAACCAGCCAUGCCGCGUGAAGGAUGACGGCCCUCUGGGUUGUAAACUUCUUUUAUGUGGGACGAAAAAGGGCCAUUUUUGGUCAACUGACGGUACCAUAGGAAUAAGCACCGGCUAACUCCGUGCCAGCCGCCGCCGUAA
rnacentral:rRNA from 1 species